rnacentral:rRNA from 1 species
UACGGGGGGGGGCAAGCGUUGUUCGGAUUUACUGGGCGUAAAGGGCGCGUAGGCGGCGUGACAAGUCACUUGUGAAAUCUCCGGGCUUAACUCGGAGCGGCCAAGUGAUACUGUCGUGCUAGAGUGCGGAAGGGGCUACUGGAAUUCUCGGUGUAGCGGUGAAAUGCGUAGAUAUCGGGAGGAACACCAGUGGCGAAGGCGGCUUGCCAGAACGCGCUCGACGGGUGAGGGAUGAAAGCUGGGGGGAGCAAACCGG